GCCUGCGGAGGGAUCAUUACAGAGUUAUCCAACUCCCAAACCCAUGUGAACUUAUCUCUUUGUUGCCUCGGCGCAAGCUACCCGGGACCUCGCGCCCCGGGGGGCCCGCCGGCGGACAAACCAAACUCUGUUAUCUUCGUUGAUUAUCUGAGUGUCUUAUUUAAUAAGUCAAAACUUUCAACAACGGAUCUCUUGGUUCUGGCAUCGAUGAAGAACGCAGCGAAAUGCGAUAAGUAAUGUGAAUUGCAGAAUUCAGUGAAUCAUCGAAUCUUUGAACGCACAUUGCGCCCAUUAGUAUUCUAGUGGGCAUGCCUGUUCGAGCGUCAUUUCAACCCCUAAGCACAGCUUAUUGUUGGGACUCUACGGCUUCGUAGUUCCCCAAAGACAUUGGCGGAGUGGCAGCAGUCCUCUGAGCGUAGUAAUUCUUUAUCUCGCUUUUGUUAGGCGCUGCCCCCCCGGCCGUAAAACCCCCAAUUUUUUCUGGUUGACCUCGGAUCAGGUAGGAAUACCCGCUGAACUUAAGCAUAUCAAAA
rnacentral:rRNA from 1 species